rnacentral:lncRNA from 10 species
CUCUUUUCUAAGAAGACAUUCAUCUCUUUUCUGAGAAGGCAUUUCUGCAAAGGCAUUCAUCAUCAUCAGCCUCCUGAGUAGCUGGAAUUACAGAACUUCCAAGAUGGUGGUGAGCCGCUUCCAAGAUGGUGGCAGGCCGCUUCCAAGAUGGUGGCAGGCCGCUUCCAAGAUGGUGGCAAGUCUCGUGUUCUCUGACCUGGGGUUCUUGGCCUCAUGGAGUCCAAGGAAUGGAAUCUUGGGUCAUGCGCUACAGCUGUCAUACUGAAAUCAUGAAGCUAAAGGCUACAGAGGGCUACUAGAAGCCUGAGUUUCUGAAGACUGUGUGGAACCAUCAAAGCAGCCCUGAAUAUUUCCCUUGAGACUUUUCCAUUAUAGGAAGGGCAAAUAAAUAGAUGAUGUAUGAUGU